GUCUAAGUAUAAGCAACUUUGUACUGUGAAACUGCGAAUGGCUCAUUAAAUCAGUUAUAGUUUAUUUGAUGGUUUUUGCUACAUGGAUAACUGUGGUAAUUCUAGAGCUAAUACAUGCAUUCAAGCCCCGACUUCUGGAAGGGGUGUAUUUAUUAGAUAAAAAUCAACUUUGUUGGUGAAUCAUAAUAACUUCUCGGACCGCAUGGCCUCGUGCUGGCGGUGCUUCAUUCAAAUAUCUGCCCUAUCAACUGUCGAUGGUAGGAUAGAGGCCUACCAUGGUUGCGACGGGUAACG
rnacentral:rRNA from 1 species